CCCCGCCUAAUUCUCCAUAAUCACUAAACAGGGAUUUGCGUCUCGGGCUUGCAUACAAGUGGCAUGUCGGAACUUCUCAACGCCGCGGAGCCGUCGCCACGUCGAGAGUGCUGGAGUUUUCUCUGAUCGAAUGAAAAGUCUGCGAACUGGGCGGCGCACUCGACCGCCGUAACUUUUAUUCAUCGGCUCCCUCGUGUCUCUUGCUCCUCAGGCGCAGUGGGCGGGCCUUCUCGUGCCGUGACGUCAUGGAGGCUGGCGGCGACGCGCUGGAGGUGAUAAGUAUUGUGGGUAGAGUGGUGUGCGCAGGCGUGUUGCUGACGGCGGCCCUGUACCUGCUGCGCGCUCUGUGUCAGAGGAUGGCCUGGAAGUGCGGUGGAGACAGCCAAGCGGAGCUCGUCAACAACCUGCGGAAGAAUGGAAUAGUCAAGACAGAGAAAGUUUAUCAUGUAAUGUUGGCCACAGACCGUUGCCACUAUGUAAAGAGUAAUCCUUAUACAGAUUCCCCUCAGUCUAUAGGUUUUCAGGCAACAAUCAGUGCUCCACACAUGCAUGCAUAUGCCCUGGAACUGCUUCAUGAUCAGUUAUAUGAGGGGGCUAAAGCACUUGAUGUCGGAUCUGGCAGUGGAAUUCUCACUUCCUGCUUUGCCCGGAUGGUCGGUCCAAGUGGAAGAGUGGUGGGAAUUGAGCAUAUUAAGGAACUGGUAAAUGACUCCAUAAAUAAUGUUAAGAAAGAUGAUCCAUCCUUGCUUUCAUCAGGAAGAAUAAAGUUUUUAGUGGGCGAUGGGAGACAGGGAUAUCCAGAGGAAGCUCCUUAUGAUGCCAUCCACGUGGGGGCAGCAGCAAGCACAGUCCCACAAGCAUUGCUCGAUCAAUUGAAGCCAGGUGGGAGGAUGAUUUUGCCCGUUGGCCCUCCGGGUGGAAACCAGAUGUUGGAGCAACAUGACAAGCUAGCGAAUGGCAGCAUCAGUAUGAAACCCCUGAUGGGAGUUAUCUAUGUGCCUUUAACAGAUCAAGAUAAGCAAGUGCCAAGGUGGAAGUGACUCUGCACAGUCCUCCUCAGAAACAAGGUAACAUUUUCAUCCAGUGGGGUGUUUGCAGUAAAAACCACGUGGAGUUAAAAUACAAUCCAAUAAGGAUGAAAUGUGAAGCUUCAUCUGUGUGCUCAGAACCUGAUGUUAAUGUGGAGUACAUAUCUCCAGUUCUAAAUGCUUUGAAAAUGACAGCAUUGCAGCUUGUUUUUGGACUGAAAAAAAAACACACACACACACUUAAAUAACUGGUGUGGAGCAAUGUUCUUGCAACGAUUUCAAUAAACCUUGCCCAGGGAAGAGCUGCAAUAAAGGAUUUUAAAAAUCAAGUGCAGAUUUGGAAGAAAUUUUAUGUGGCUUGGUUUUGUUUUUAACUGGCAAGUGUGAAGCUGCUGCAAGGUGGUACCAGCAGAUGUGUGGUGUGGCUAGUUGUUUUUUUUCUCCCUCAUCUGAAUUGAUAGGUGUUCAAAUCCUGCACCAUUCCAACGUAAACUUAUACUGUGCAUCCGUGGCACCAAUGACACAACGUAUGCAAGACCUUUCUGUAUGCAGGUAUAACUAAGCACUAAACAUUGAAGAUUGUAGUGUGCCUUCAGUUGCCAUUCAGAUUGCCAUGUUUUACUAGUUCCUGGAAUCAAACCUCCCAAGCACUACAAACUGACGGUGGCAAAUGCAUUGUUGAUUGUAAACACAGAUUUGAACAUAUUGAUGCUUUCAAACAUAAUUUUUAAGUUCUGUGCUGCUAUUCCUUUUGUCUUGUGUUGCUUCACAGUUGAAUGGAGUAGAAAUGAUUUAAAUCUAUGCUGUAUAAGCUUACAACACUGUAGAUCGUAGUUAAAAUUUCCUCAAUGUAUGCAUUAUUGCUUUGCAAAAUAAAUU